rnacentral:rRNA from 1 species
GACAGCAGCAGCCGCGGUAAUACAGAGGGUGCGAGCGUUAAUCGGAUUUACUGGGCGUAAAGCGUGCGUAGGCGGCUUUUUAAGUCGGAUGUGAAAUCCCUGAGCUUAACUUAGGAAUUGCAUUCGAUACUGGGAAGCUAGAGUAUGGGAGAGGAUGGUAGAAUUCCAGGUGUAGCGGUGAAAUGCGUAGAGAUCUGGAGGAAUACCGAUGGCGAAGGCAGCCAUCUGGCCUAAUACUGACGCUGAGGUACGAAAGCAUGGGGAGCAAACAGGAUUAGAUACCCGUGUAGUCCCUGUCUCUUAUAC